AGCGACAGAUGAGAAGCUUGCUUCUCUGAUGUUAGCGGCGGACGGGUGAGUAACACGUGGGUAACCUACCUAUAAGACUGGGAUAACUCCGGGAAACCGGGGCUAAUACCGGAUAAUAUUUUGAACCGCAUGGUUCAAUAGUGAAAGACGGUUUCGGCUGUCACUUAUAGAUGGACCCGCGCCGUAUUAGCUAGUUGGUAAGGUAACGGCUUACCAAGGCGACGAUACGUAGCCGACCUGAGAGGGUGAUCGGCCACACUGGAACUGAGACACGGUCCAGACUCCUACGGGAGGCAGCAGUAGGGAAUCUUCCGCAAUGGGCGAAAGCCUGACGGAGCAACGCCGCGUGAGUGAUGAAGGUCUUCGGAUCGUAAAACUCUGUUGUUAGGGAAGAACAAAUUUGUUAGUAACUGAACAAGUCUUGACGGUACCUAACCAGAAAGCCACGGCUAACUACGUGCCAGCAGCCGCGGUAAUACGUAGGUGGCAAGCGUUAUCCGGAAUUAUUGGGCGUAAAGCGCGCGUAGGCGGUUUCUUAAGUCUGAUGUGAAAGCCCACGGCUCAACCGUGGAGGGUCAUUGGAAACUGGGAAACUUGAGUGCAGAAGAGGAGAGUGGAAUUCCAUGUGUAGCGGUGAAAUGCGCAGAGAUAUGGAGGAACACCAGUGGCGAAGGCGGCUCUCUGGUCUGUAACUGACGCUGAUGUGCGAAAGCGUGGGGAUCAAA
rnacentral:rRNA from 1 species